rfam:Salmo salar isolate Sally breed double haploid chromosome ssa01, whole genome shotgun sequence.
UGCACUCACUACUGUAAGUCACUCUGGAUAAGAGUGUCUGCUAAAUGACUCAAA